rnacentral:rRNA from 1 species
CGAAAGCCUGACGGAGCAACGCCGCGUGAGGGAUGAAGGCCUCUGGGCUGUAAACCUCUUUUCUCAAGGAAGAAGAUCUGACGGUACUUGAGGAAUAAGCCACGGCUAAUUCCGUGCCAGCAGCCGCGGUAAUACGGGAGUGGCAAGCGUUAUCCGGAAUUAUUGGGCGUAAAGCGUCCGCAGGCGGCCGUACAAGUCUGUCGUUAAAGCGUGGAGCUUAACUCCAUUUGAGCGAUGGAAACUGUAAGGCUUGAGUGUGGUAGGGGCAGAGGGAAUUCCCGGUGUAGCGGUGAAAUGCGUAGAUAUCGGGAAGAACACCAGUGGCGAAAGCGCUCUGCUGGGCCAUAACUGACGCUCAUGGACGAAAGCCAGGGGAGCG